UACGAAGGGGGCUAGCGUUGCUCGGAAUCACUGGGCGUAAAGCGCACGUAGGCGGCUUUUUAAGUCAGGGGUGAAAUCCUGGAGCUCAACUCCAGAACUGCCUUCGAUACUGAAGAGCUCGAGUCCGGGAGAGGUGAGUGGAACUGCGAGUGUAGAGGUGAAAUUCGUAGAUAUUCGCAAGAACACCAGUGGCGAAGGCGGCUCACUGGCCCGGUACUGACGCUCAGGUGCGAAAGCGUGGGAGCAAACAGG
rnacentral:rRNA from 1 species